CUUGUCUCUUAUAGAAUUCCCCAUUUCUCUGAACAACAGCAGCAACAAAAAAGAAAACCCAAUCCUUACUAUCGGCCACCCAGGCAUCAACAUCUCCUCCAUUGAAGAAAUUAUCAGGGAAUAUGGUAACCAGGUACUCAAAAGGAAGACUAUGGAGUCUUGCCUGGUGAGGGUAGCCCCAAAAUCCUCUCAUAGGCAGAAACAAGGUGGGGCUAUAAAGAAAAGAAGAAGAUAGAAAAACACUGGCAUAACCUUUAGUAAGUGAUAAGCCAUUCAUUUAUCAGGUGCUAUUUAGGAAAUAUCUAUGGGCCAGGCACUGUG
rnacentral:lncRNA from 1 species